rnacentral:rRNA from 1 species
UAANGCACAAUGGGCGAAAGCCUGAUGCAGCNACGCCGCGUGAGUGAAGAAGUAUCUCGGUAUGUAAAGCUCUAUCAGCAGGGAAGAAAAUGACGGUACCUGACUAAGAAGCCACGGCUAACUACGUGCCAGCAGCCGCGGUAAUACGUAGGGGGCAAGCGUUAUCCGGAUUUACUGGGUGUAAAGGGAUCGUAGACGGCGACGCAAGUCUGGAGUGAAAGCCCGGGGCCCAACCCCGGGAAUGCUUUGGAAACUGUGCUGCUGGAGUGCAGGAGAGGUAAGUGGAAUUCCUAGUGUGGCGGUGAAAUGCGUAGAUAUUAGGAGGAACACCAGUGGCGAAGGCGGCUUACUGAACUGUAACUGACGUUGAGGCUCGAAAGCGUGGGGAGCAAA